rnacentral:rRNA from 1 species
AGGAUGAACGCUGGCGGUCUGCUUAACACAUGCAAGUCGAACGGGCGUAGCAAUACGUUAGUGGCGGACGGGUGAGUAACGCGUGAGAAUCUACCUUCAGGACGGAGACAACAGUUGGAAACGACUGCUAACCCCCGAUGUACCGAAAGGGCAAAUAUUUAUAGCCUGAAGAAGAGCUCGCGUCCGAUUAGCUAGUUGGAGAGGUAAAAGCUCACCAAGGCGACGAUCGGUAGCUGGUCUGAGAGGACGAUCAGCCACACUGGGACUGAGACACGGCCCAGACUCCUACGGGAGGCAGCAGUGGGAAUUUCGCAAUGGGCGAAAGCCUGACGGAGCAAGACCGCGUGGGGGAAGAAGGCUCUUGGGUUGUAAACCCCUUUUCUCUGGGAAGAACGCAAUGACGGUACCAGAGGAAUCAGCAUCGGCUAACUCCGUGCCAGCAGCCGC